rnacentral:rRNA from 1 species
GAUGAACGCUGGCGGCGUGCCUAAUACAUGCAAGUCGAGCGAACGGACGAGAAUCUUGCUUCUCUGAUGUUAGCGGCGGACGGGUGAGUAACACGUGGAUAACCUACCUAUAAGUCUGGGAUAACUUCGGGAAACCGUAGCUAAUACCGGAUAAUAUUUUGAACCGCAUGGUUCAAAAGUGAAAGACGGUCUUUCUUUCACUUAUAGAUGGAUCCGCGCUGCAUUAGCUAGUUGGUAAGGUAACGGCUUACCAAGGCAACGAUGCAUAGCCGACCUGAGAGGGUGAGCGGCAAAACGGGAACUGAGACACGGUCAAGACUACUACGGGAGGAAGCAGUAGGGAAUCUUACGCAAUGGGCGAAAGCAUGACGGAGCAACGCCGCGUGAGUGAUGAAGGUCUUCGGAUCGUAAAACUCUGUUAUUAGGGAAGAACAUAUGUGUAAGUAACUGUGCACAGCUUGACGGUAACUAAUCAGAAAGCCACGGCUAACUACGUG